rnacentral:rRNA from 1 species
UACGUAGGGUGCAAGCGUUAAUCGGAAUUACUGGGCGUAAAGCGCGCGCAGGCGGUCCUUUAAGUCUGAUGUGAAAGCCCACGGCUCAACCGUGGAGGGUCAUUGGAAACUGGGGGACUUGAGUGCAGAAGAGGAAAGCGGAAUUCCACGUGUAGCGGUGAAAUGCGUAGAGAUGUGGAGGAACACCAGUGGCGAAGGCGGCUUUCUGGUCUGUAACUGACGCUGAGGCGCGAAAGCGUGGGGAGCAAGCAGG